rnacentral:misc_RNA from 1 species
GUUUUUUCAAUCGCAAAAAUUAAAAGAACGCUUUAAAGAACUCCUUCUGCAUCUCCCAUCGCUCUUUGAUCGGUCACAACGACUAACAAUUAGGUCUCUAUUUAAGAGACGAGAAUUUUCAUGCUAUCGUACAGGCUUUGACACAGUGUCGACUCCGGUGGCAAACUCGCAACAGCCCAAAUCGAAUAGAAUCAAAACGGGAGCAGCUGCCAGCAAACGGCCACGAGGGCGUUAUCAGGAACAGCGGAAUCGAGGUCACAAGGGAGCACGAGAGAG